CUGAGUUGCAAAACUCCCAAACCACUGUGAACAUACCACUGUUGCUUCGGCGGUCCGCCCCGGGUGCGUCCUCGCGACGUGUCCCGGGCCCAGGCGGCCGCCGGGGGCAUCGAAUCUCUGUCUUUACAGCGGGCUUCUGAGUACUUUAAACAAAUAAAUCA
rnacentral:misc_RNA from 1 species